rnacentral:rRNA from 1 species
GAUGAACGCUGGCGGCGUGCCUAAUACAUGCAAGUCGAGCGAACAGACGAGGAGCUUGCUCCUCUGACGUUAGCGGCGGACGGGUGAGUAACACGUGGAUAACCUACCUAUAUGACUGGGAUAACUUCGGGAAACCGGAGCUAAUACCGGAUAAUAUAUUGAACCGCAUGGUUCAAUAGUGAAAGACGGUUUUGCUGUCACUUAUAGAUGGAUCCGCGCCGCAUUAGCUAGUUGGUAAGGUAACGGCUUACCAAGGCAACGAUGCGUAGCCGACCUGAGAGGGUGAUCGGCCACACUGGAACUGAGACACGGUCCAGACUCCUACGGGAGGGAGCAGCAGGGAAUCUUCCGCAAUGGGCGAAAGACUGACGGAGCAACGCGGCGUGAGUGAUGAAGGUCUUCGGAUCGUAAAACUCUGUUAUUAGGGAAGAACAAAUGUGUAAGUACAUAUGCACGUCUUGACGGUACCUAAUCAGAAAGCCACGGCUAACUACGUG